UAUUGCACAAUGGGGGGAACCCUGAUGCAGCGACGCCGCGUGAGUGAAGAAGUAGUUCGGUAUGUAAAGCUCUAUCAGCAGGAACGAAGAAGACGGUACAUGACGAAGAAGCUCCGGCUCACUACGUGCCAGCAGCCGCGGUAAUACGUAGGGGGCAAGCGUUAUCCGGAAUCACUGGGUGUAAAGGGAGCGUAGACGGCAGGACAAGCCUGGAGUGAAAGGCGGGGGCCCAACCCCCGGACUGCUCUGGGAACUGCCCGGCUUGAGUGCAGGAGAGGUAAGUGGAAUUCCUAGUGUAGCGGUGAAAUGCGUAGAUAUUAGGAGGAACACCAGUGGCGAAGGCGGCUUACUGGACUGUAACUGACGUUGAGGCUCGAAAGCGUGGGGAGCAAA
rnacentral:rRNA from 1 species